rnacentral:pre_miRNA from 14 species
AAUCGCACGGGAUAAUUAUUUUCCCGUGCGGUCGUAUUAAGUGGAAUGCACGGGAUAAUCGAUUAUCCCGUGCGGUC